rnacentral:lncRNA from 1 species
CUGGGAGUCGUGGUCUAGGCGAGCUGGCGCCUCUGAGCGAGCUCACGGAAGUGGCCGGCGCCGCGCGGGUGAGGUGGGUCAGGAUGCGGUGGGCUGGGGUCGCGGCCGGAGAGGAACGCUCCAGGCCCUGAAGCCGCCGGCGCUCGCUGCGGCCUGUGCAAGGCGUGCGGGACCGCCCCGCCGAUGGGGACUGAGGCGCAGACCACGAGCGGCGCGUCUGGAGGGCCGACUGACGGCCGCCCGAACCGAGUGUAGACCUCCCUGACGGAAUGUGGGACCGGCUGACUGGGAUGCAGCCUGAGUGUGCUUCAGCGGCCGCCACAUCGCGGCUGGAGUUGUUUGACAGCGGUCACCCGUCUGCGGUUGCGGAUAUGUCCCCCAGCACCUUCGGCGUGCUUAAGUCCGGCAGGAGGCUGUGGAGUCAACAGAUUGGUUGUUCACCACGUGUUUGCUGUGCGCCGGCCUGUACUGGACGUUUGUCAUGGCUUGCCUUGCGUAACCUCACAGCAACCCUCUGAGGUAGGUGCCAGUUAUUACGACAGCUACACGUAAGGACCACUCUCUUCAGUUGGUUAAACACUCAUGGGUUGGGGACCUUGACCUGAUGUGACCUAGGGGGAUGGCUAAGGCAGGCCCAUGUACAUGUGUCUCAGAGACAUCAUCAGGGAUUUUCCAGAACAGGAGCUCCCGGGAUACAAAAGGGAGCUUGGAAUCUUGCUGCAUAUAUUGUCAUCCCUGCCAUUCCUCUUCCCCUCCCUUGUACAGUGAUUCCUCACAUCUGUGGGUGACCAUGCUUAGCCUGUCCUGGUCCCUCCAUUUGCUCAGCACCCGUUUACUGUGCACUUGACAUAGGCCGUGCCCUGGGCACUGUUGCUCCAGCAUGCCCAGUCUCUCUGGGGCAAUGUGGUUAGAACCAGAGCUGGGAAAAGAGAGACCCAGGGCACUCAGGAUACUUAGCUUGCUCCCAAGUGCUUGGACAGCUCUUGGAGAAGAUGGCAGGUAAAGUGCAGUCUGGAGGACUAGUAGAAAUUAGGUGCAGAGGGAGAUUUUAGAACAUGAGAAUAACAGGGACAAAGGCUGAAAAGAUGGGGUUGGGGAUAAUGGCAAGGACAAGGUGAC